rnacentral:RNase_P_RNA from 1 species
UGCGCUGGCCGGACCAUCGCGCCGUCCGCCUGCAGCGCGACGGUGAGGAAAGUCCGAACACCACAGGGCACCCCGCCUCCUAACCGGAGGGCGUCCUUUGGGCAACCAAAGGGCGACGGCAAGUGCCACAGAGAGUAGACCGGCCGAUGGUCUCGCUGUGCGGCGAGACGCAGGCAAAGGGUGAAAGGGUGGGGUAAGAGCCCACCAGCGUCGCUGGUAACAGCGGCGGCUAGGUAAACCCCGGGGGGUGCAAGGCCAAGCAGCGCCGCACCGCCCUUAGGGCGGAUAAGGUGGCCCGCUGAAAGGCGUCCACUUAGGACGCGGCGGCGCGGGUAGGCCGCUUGAGGCUGCCGGUGACGGCAGUCCCAGAUAAAUGAUGGUCUCCCCGAGCGAUGUGGCGGCCGUUGCUCGGGUAGACAGAAUUCGGCUUACAGGCCAGCGCAUGCC